UACGAGGGGGGCGAGCGUUGUUCGGAAUUAUUGGGCGUAAAGGGUGCGUAGGCGGCCUGACAAGUCUGAUGUGAAAUCCCUGGGCUCAACCCAGGGCCUGCAUCGGAAACUGUCGGGCUUGAGUAUGGGAGAGGUGAGUGGAAUUUCCGGUGUAGCGGUGAAAUGCGUAGAUAUCGGAAGGAACACCUGUGGCGAAAGCGGCUCACUGGCUCAUUACUGACGCUCAGGCGCGAUAGCGUGGGGAUCAAACAGG
rnacentral:rRNA from 1 species